CAGCACAAAACAAGACUCACCGACUGACUCUCCAGAGUGUAGCAGUGACCUUCACUCAUGGCGCACCAAGUUUCAGAAGCAUCCAGGAGAUUGCACAAGAGGCAGGCAGAUGAACCUCAUCCAAUCAGUUGAAGACCUGAAUAGAACAAGAGACUGACAUCCCCUGAGCAAGAGGAAUUCUGCCAGCAGACCACCUUCAGAGAUGGGUUACAGCAUCGGCCCUUCCCUGGGUCUCCAGCUUGCAGGCCUACCCUUCAAAUUUUGGACUUGCCAGCUCUAUAAUUGCAUGAGCCAAUUCCUUAAAAAUAAAUCUCUCUCUCUCCAAACACAUACACGUACACAUAAUUCUGUUCAUUCUGUUUUUCUGGAGAACCCUGACUAAUAUGCCCAUAAACAUUUGGAGUCCUCAGACAGCUUUAAAUUAUAACAUCUAAAAGCCAGAGUGAACAUGACUUUCACAGUUUGAAAGUGCCACUUUCAAACAUAGCUAGCCAAUCCUAAGCCUGAUUGCCCCGCCUUGCCCAUUUCUUUGCAUGCAAACCACAGUAAUGUUCUUGCCCACAGCCCUUCCCCCUGCCCUGUCUCCCUCUGUCUCCUGACUGACCCUGGUGCUUCCUGGUGUGGCCCUUCAUGCAUGCUGUGUUCUCCCAAGGGAACUGUGAGUAUAAUAAAAAUCUUUAAACUU